GGGGGCGUACGGUUUCGACGGGGAGCGUCGCGAGGGACGUUGCGAGCCGAGAUCCCACCAGCUCGUUAAACGGUGGAAGCACAAUAAGUGCCAACAACAACUACGCUUACGCAGCCUAAGUAUUAGGCGGCCGUCCGAUCCGGACUUAGCCUGAGAGGCCGGUAAGGGCGUCACGAAAGUCAGGAUGCUCGCCAGCCAAUUCUCGGAGGCUGACGAAAAGACCAUCGAGAUAGCCCGCCCGAAGCGCGCGCGUGCGCGUCGCGCGGAGCGAAGUCCAGUUCGCGCGCUACGCUCGUAGACGCGGCCCAAGGGACCUCUUCGGACCCGGGUUCGACUCCCGGCGCCUCCACCA
rnacentral:tmRNA from 1 species